GGUGUAUUUCAGGGGUAGAGUGUGUUCCUUGCAGGUACAAGGCCCUGGGUUCAAUCCCCAGCACC
rnacentral:tRNA from 1 species